rnacentral:rRNA from 1 species
UGGGGAAUAUUGGACAAUGGAGGAAACUCUGAUCCAGCAAUUCUGUGUGUGUGAAGAAGGUUUUAGGACUGUAAAACACUUUUAGUAGGGAAGAAAAAAAUGACGGUACCUACAGAAGAAGCAACGGCUAAAUACGUGCCAGCAGCCGCGGUAAUACGUAUGUUGCGAGCGUUAUCCGGAAUUAUUGGGCUUAAAGGGCAUCUAGGCGGUAAGACAAGUUGAAGGUGAAAACCUGUGGCUCAACCAUAGGCUUGCCUACAAAACUGUUGAACUAGAGUACUGGAAAGGUGGGUGGAACUACACGAGUAGAGGUGAAAUGCGUAGAUAUGUGUAGGAAUGCCGAUGAUGAAGAUAACUCACUGGACAGAAACUGACGCUGAAGUGCGAAAGCUAGGGGAGCAAACAGG